rnacentral:rRNA from 1 species
GCAGCUAACGCGUGAAGUUCGCCGCCUGGGGAGUACGGUCGCAAGAUUAAAACUCAAAGGAAUUGACGGGGACCCGCACAAGCGGUGGAUGAUGUGGAUUAAUUCGAUGCAACGCGAAAAACCUUACCUACCCUUGACAUGUCAGGAAGUCUGCUGAGAGGUGGAUGUGCCCGAAAGGGAACCUGAACACAGGUGCUGCAUGGCUGUCGUCAGCUCGUGUCGUGAGAUGUUGGGUUAAGUCCCGCAACGAGCGCAACCCUUGUCAUUAAUUGCCAUCAUUCAGUUGGGCACUUUAAUGAGACUGCCGGUGACAAACCGGAGGAAGGUGGGGAUGACGUCAAGUCCUCAUGGCCCUUAUGGGUAGGGCUUCACACGUCAUACAAUGGUCGGUACAGAGGGUCGCCAACCCGCGAGGGGGAGCCAAUCCCACAAAGCCGAUCGUAGUCCGGAUCGCAGUCUGCAACUCGACUGCGUGAAGUCGGAAUCGCUAGUAAUCGUGGAUCAGCAUGUCACGGUGAAUACGUUCCCGGGUCUUGUACACACCGCCCGUCACACCAUGGGAGUGGGUUCCACCAGAAGUAGGUAGUCUAACCGCAAGGGGGGCGCUUACCACGGUGGGAUUCAUGACUGGGGUGAAGUCGUAACAAGGUAACCGUA